rnacentral:lncRNA from 1 species
CUCAAAACUACCUAAAAAAAACUAUGCAUAAGCCACUUCCAACCAAUAACAUAUUUUCAAGCUACUGACCGUCCUUAACGUAAGCGACAACAAAAUUUAAUAGUCAAUAUAUAUUCGAGAUUUCAAUUUCGAAGCUUAGCUGAUUGCUUUAUAAAUUUGUAAUUAACGAAACAGAUAAUAUGCUAUUUUUCUCACUCAAAAAGAAAAAUUCGAGUUGAUUAUACAUAAUUCUAUAAACU